UUUUAAUCAGCCGUGAGGAGUCACUUGAAGGGAGGGCAGGGACAAAUCGGAAAGAGCUGGUGAACUGUGCUGUUGCCUUUGCACCAGAAGGGUAUGGGCCAGAAGCCAAAUCAAUUAUUGCUGAUCUUCUGGAUCUGGGGAAAGGAUUGAAUGCUCUGUGUGGGGGGCAGAGAGCCCUUGACGCAGACAAAGUCUCUGCGUAAACUGGGACCUGCGGGCUUUCAUGGCCUUCCUUGCCACCCAGAGGACAGCCACUCUUCCUCUCUUCCCACCCUCAGUGACGCCCUUGGAUCGAGUCAGAUGGCCCCGGGAGGAGGCAGCAGGUCAGCAGUCGGCGGCCGCUCACCUGCUUUUACCGUCUGUCUGCUGAAGUCCUGCGCAGGUGACCCACGCCACAGUGGGUGUGAAUGCACAAACCGUGAAAAAAGAUCUUGAGAUUUUAAGAAACAGAAGGGACCUUUUGUUUUGACAUCAGGGUAAGGCUAUAAAAGCAAGAAUUUUUCCAAAGGCGAAAAAGGUGUGAAAUUCAUGUUAAUGGUGGAGACACACAAGAUCUGUAAAAGGACUAAAAAGAUACCUUGCAUCUAUUUUGGCAAUUCAAGGUGUGUUAUCAUCUUAGACACCAG
rnacentral:lncRNA from 1 species